GGCGAACGCUGGCGGCGUGUCUGACACAUGCAAGUUGAGCGGGCAUCAAGUAGGGGCAACUCUGCAGGGUGCUAGCAGCGAACGGCUGAGUAACACGUGAGUAACCUGCCCCAAGGAUCGGGACAACCAUCCGAAAGGGUGGCUAAUACCGGAUGUGUUUCCGAGGUGGAAAUCUUCGGAAGGAAAGGUGGGGCAACCUACCGCUUUGGGAGGGGCUCGCGGCCUAUCAGGUAGUGGCGGGGUAACGGCCCACCAAGCCUACGACGGGUAGCCGGUCUGAGAGGACGUCCGGCCAGACUGGGACUGAGACACGGCCCAGACUCCUACGGGAGGCAGCAGUUCAGAAUAUUGCGCAAUGGGGGAAACCCUGACGCAGCGACGCCGCGUGGAGGAUGACGGCCUCGGUGUAAC
rnacentral:rRNA from 1 species